ACUCAAGCAUCUAGUAGCUUUACACAUGUUGUUGGCCUCAAGAAAAGACAGACACGACAAAGUGGGUCAAAGAGAAAGAAAAACUGGCUCGACAAAUAUCACAAAAAUAACCAGCAAAGAUCAGAAAAGAACAAUCCUUGCAAACAAACUAAUGAGGCAUGUUGCGCAAGCAGACCGGUUGAUGCACGAGCAGUGGUAUUGAUGAUGAACAUGGGCCUUGCACGACAUGCUUGGAUGGAGUUCUACUAUCCUAAGGCCCAUCUUGGGUAG
rnacentral:lncRNA from 1 species